UACGGAGGGGGCUAGCGUUGUUCGGAAUUACUGGGCGUAAAGCGCACGUAGGCGGCUUUGUAAGUUAGAGGUGAAAGCCCGGGGCUCAACCCCGGAAUUGCCUUUAAGACUGCAUCGCUAGAAUUGUGGAGAGGUAAGUGGAAUUCCGAGUGUAGAGGUGAAAUUCGUAGAUAUUCGGAAGAACACCAGUGGCGAAGGCGACUUACUGGACACAUAUUGACGCUGAGGUG
rnacentral:rRNA from 1 species